rnacentral:rRNA from 1 species
UGCAGUCGAACGGUAGUCCUUCGGGAUGAGAGUGGCGAACGGGUGAGUAAUAUAUCGGAACAUGUCCGUAAGUGGGGGAUAACGUAGAGAAAUUUACGCUAAUACCGCAUAUUCCCUGAGGGGGAAAGGAGGGGAUCGCAAGACCUUUCGCUAACGGAGUGGCCGAUAUCGGAUUAGCUAGUAGGUGAGGUAAAGGCUCACCUAGGCGACGAUCCGUAGCGGAUCUGAGAGGAUGAUCCGCCACGCUGGAACUGAGACACGGUCCAGACUCCUACGGGAGGCAGCAGUGGGGAAUUUUGGACAAUGGGCGCAAGCCUGAUCCAGCCAUACCGCGUGAGUGAAGAAGGCCUUCGGGUUGUAAAGCUCUUUCAGCCGGAAAGAAAUCCUGCUUACUAAUACUAAGUGGGGAUGACGGUACCGGAAGAAGAAGCACCGGCUAACUACGUGCCAGCAGCCGCGGUAAUACGUAGGGUGCGAGCGUUAAUCGGAAUUACUGGGCGUAAAGCGUGCGCAGGCGGCAUGAUAAGCCAGAUGUGAAAUCCCCGGGCUUAACCUGGGAACUGCAUUUGGAACUGUCAAGCUAGAGUAUAGCAGAGGGGGGUAGAAUUCCACGUGUAGCAGUGAAAUGCGUAGAGAUGUGGAGGAAUACCGAUGGCGAAGGCAGCCCCCUGGGUUAAUACUGACGCUCAUGCACGAAAGCGUGGGGAGCAAACAGGAUUAGAUACCCUGGUAGUCCACGCCCUAAACGAUGUCAACUAGGUGUUGGGGAAGGAGACUUCCUUAGUACCGCAGCUAACGCGUGAAGUGACCGCC